UCGGGUGGGAGUGGCAGACGGGUGAGUAACACGUGGGAACGUACCCUUUGGUUCGGGACAACUCUGGGAAACUGGAGCUAAUACCGGAUACGCCCUUUUGGGGAAAGGUUUACUGCCGAAGGAUCGGCCCGCGUCUGAUUAGCUAGUUGGUGGGGUAACGGCCUACCAAGGCGACGAUCAGUAGCUGGUCUGAGAGGAUGAUCAGCCACACUGGGACUGAGACACGGCCCAGACUCCUACGGGAGGCAGCAGUGGGGAAUAUUGGACAAUGGGCGCAAGCCUGAUCCAGCCAUGCCGCGUGAGUGAUGAAGGCCUUAGGGUUGUAAAGCUCUUUUAUCCGGGACGAUAAUGACGGUACCGGAGGAAUAAGCCCCGGCUAACUUCGUGCCAGCAGCCGCGGUAAUACGAAGGGGGCUAGCGUUGCUCGGAAUCACUGGGCGUAAAGGGCGCGUAGGCGGCGUUUUAAGUCGGGGGUGAAAGCCUGUGGCUCAACCACAGAAUGGCCUUCGAUACUGGGACGCUUGAGUCUGGUAGAGGUUGGUGGAACUGCGAGUGUAGAGGUGAAAUUCGUAGAUAUUCGCAAGAACACCGGUGGC
rnacentral:rRNA from 1 species